rnacentral:lncRNA from 1 species
UGAAAUAAUGGUCCCCUGUGUACAAAAAAAGGGUUCCCUGUGAAGGACUUUCUGUACAGAUUGGACAAAACACACGCGUAAAUGUUUACCAGCUCAUUGUAAACGUUUACCACACCCUUUUUGACUACACUUCACCCAAAACUUCAUCUCAACACUUCCUCUCAACAUAAGCACUUCCUCCAAGGAAUUUGGGGUCCCCAAAAUCAG